UAUAAUUUAGUGUAGGAGCACGUAAAAUUUUGAUUUUUAAAGAUAUAAUUGUUUUGUAAGUUAUAA
rnacentral:tRNA from 1 species